rnacentral:lncRNA from 1 species
GAGAAACGCAGGGAACCGAGAGGGAGAGGCGGCAUGUGGACAGGCAAGUGGGGGCAGCCUGGGAAGGGGGAGGAGAGGAGAGAAGCAGGAAGGGGGAAAGGCUCCAGAUGAGGAGUACACAGAGUACAGAGGGACGCCGAGUACAGGGAGAGGAGGGGGCUGCGAGGGGACAAGGACGGAAGAGGGGCGGGCGUCCUCCCUUGUACCAGUUCCGGCUCCCAGGCUCCCCCAAGGUUUGGUCAGUCCCUGGCCGAGCGAAGCCGUGGUGGAGGAGGUGGUGGGGCGGGGAAGAGGGGGGUGGUCCCGGUGUCCUCCCCUUAACACACACCCCCACCCAGGCCGGGCCUCAUUUGCCUAAUGCAAUGCGGCUGAACUCUCGCUGAACUCGCCUGGCGGCGCCUCACCUCCGAGUGACCCACCCACCGCUGCCCGUGACAUCACCCGCUCGCCAGCCCGCCCGCGGGGCUCGCCCGCCAGCCCCCUGCCCGGCCGAACCGGGCCACCUCCCCCGGAGACGCGGAGAGCGGCGGCAGGAGGCGUAGGGCCGGGUCGCGCGGGGCCAAGUGUUUGGCACCCGGGUGUGACAUUGUGCAGCUCGGACGCUGUGUCGGAAUGAGACACCGGCUUGUGUCAUUGUCUGUGACAUCAUGUGUGACUCCGGCCGCCGGAACCCGACGCGGCAGCGCGGGUGCUGUUGGCACAAACACAGGCAGAGGGGGCCCUCCUCCCCACGCUCUGCGUGCUUCCGGCGAGCAAAGCCCCGCCCAAGGUGUCUCCUAGCUGGGGAACCAGUACCGGCCCCUGGUGCACUGUCCAGCUCUGGAGAGAUAAAAGGAAGAGCUGGUGCCUUCCAGUGGACUACUUCAUCCUAGAAGCCCUCGGGAUGCACGUUUCACUGGAAGAAAGGCCUAGCUUGGGUAGGUCCCUAGAAAGAGGGGAUACCCCUGGAGGAGGGGGUAUCCUAUUACCCCCACUCUCUAAAAGGAAGGAUGGAAAUGUACAUGCUACCCAAGGACAUUCUUCUAGAAGAAGCCUGGCUCUUUAUAUAUGUUGUCAUUUUAUCCUCACAGCAACUCCAAGAGAUGUUUUACAAAUAAAACAGGUCUCAGCAAGGCUA